CCAUUUAAAACAUGGGGUUUUAUCCAUAUAGAUUUAUCUGCGAUGGCAGUUGCAGCAGUAUCCUCCCCGGUUGCAAAUCCCCUGCUCCCGUCCACCAGUCUCUGCUGUUCUCGAUUGAGCUCCACAAAUCUCACGCUAUCUCAUCUCGCAUUUCGUCCCUCCUUGCUCCAUCUCAGAUACAACAGAUGCCCUGGAAGCAGCAUUUGCAAUGGAAAGCCGAAUGCUUCUUUGGGAAGAGAAACAGAAGACAUAGGGGAAGUCUUCUUUGGCGGCGAUGAUGAAAUGGAAGAUGAAAGCGAGGAAGAAGACUCCGAUAGUAGUGUGGAUUUGCUCUUCAGGUUCACGCAUAGCAUAUUCAGAAAGGUUUCCAAGAGAGCCAAGAAGGCCACGCGUUCGAUAUUGCCUCACGCGAUAUCUCCACAGCUGGUUUCCUUUGCAGUGGAUGGAGUUCUUCUUCUGACUUCACUCUCUAUUGUUAAAGCUCUACUUGAGGUAAUUUGCAACCUUGGAGGUGCAGUUUUCUUUGUGAUCUUGCUGCUACGUGUGAUCUGGAUGGCGGUUUCUCAUUUCCAAUCAAGUGGAAGUAAUUUGAAUCAGGGGGGAAGCUCCUAUGGCACAAUGCAACCUUCAAGUUGAUUAUGUAAUUGUUUCAGAUCAUUGCAUAAAUUUAAUCUGGUUAAAGUUCAGGCUCAUGUGAGACAUUGUUCAAGAGCUUAUCAUAGCAACUUUCAACACAUCGAUUGAACUUAUGAUUCUUGGAGCAUUGGUUUACAGAGGGUCUUGUGUUGAUGGCUGGAAGAACCCAAUUGUUAAGAACUUCACAUGUGAAUAAGAUCAUGAAGUUAGGGUGCCAAUGAAAUGGGAUACCAUUAGAAAUUAGUGGUUGUUCCACUAAGAUUUGUAAAGUUUUUUCCUUGCUAUCUGGCAGUGUAUGGAACAGUGAUGGCAAAUGGUUAUCUGAUAAUGAAGAUACCCAUUUGCUGCGUUUGCUGUGCA